CGGGCGUUAAGUUGCAGGGUAUAGACCCGAAACCCGGUGAUCUAGCCAUGGGCAGGUUGAAGGUUGGGUAACACUAACUGGAGGACCGAACCGACUAAUGUUGAAAAAUUAGCGGAUGACCUGUGGCUGGGGGUGAAAGGCCAAUCAAACCGGGAGAUAGCUGGUUCUCCCCGAAAGCUAUUUAGGUAGCGCCUCGUGAAUUCAUCUCCGGGGGUAGAGCACUGUUUCGGCUAGGGGGCCAUCCCGGCUUACCAACCCGAUGCAAACUGCGAAUACCGGAGAAUGUUAUCACGGGAGACACACGGCGGGUGCUAACGUCCGUCGUGAAGAGGGAAACAACCCAGACCGCCAGCUAAGGUCCCAAAGUCAUGGUUAAGUGGGAAACGAUGUGGGAAGGCCCAGACAGCCAGGAUGUUGGCUUAGAAGCAGCCAUCAUUUAAAGAAAGCGUAAUAGCUCACUGGUCGAGUCGGCCUGCGCGGAAGAUGUAACGGGGCUAAACCAUGCACCGAAGCUGCG
rnacentral:rRNA from 1 species